GUGACGACAUCGCGAGAGAACAGUCGAAGAAGGGGGGCAAGAAGAAGAAGAAGAACAAAUUCUUCCAUUACUAUGCCAUGCGGUGUGGCAUUCCUCGCGAGGAUGUCCAUACGCAUUGGGACAAGAUAUCAAAACAACUCAAGGGUCAUUUAGGUUGCUUAGGGGUGGAUCUUGAGAGGGAAAAAAGAGACGAGAGAAAUAGAGAGAGUUUGAUUGCCGACAGACAGAAAGAAAUCGAAAAGUUGGAGGGGGAUUUGGCCAAGAUGAAUUUACAACUAAGCCUAUCCUACGGACAAGGUCAACAAGAGAUACAAAACGAAUUUCGGACAAUAAUUAAAGUGUUAGUUUUUCUCAACGGCAAACAUCUGAAACAUCUGCAAAAUUUGCCAAAAAUUGAACCUGGAUAAUUCUGGAAAA